UACGUAGGGGGCUAGCGUUGUCCGGAUUUAUUGGGCGUAAAGAGCGUGUAGGCGGCCAGGUAGGUCUGGUGUGAAAACUCGAGGCUUAACCUUGAGAUGUCAUCGGAAACCAUUUGGCUAGAGUCCGGAAGAGGAAAGUGGAAUUCCUGGUGUAGCGGUGAAAUGCGCAGAUAUCAGGAAGAACACCAGUGGCGAAGGCGGCCUGCUGGGCAGUUUUGCUGACACUGAGGCGCGACAGCGUGGGAGCAAACAGG
rnacentral:rRNA from 1 species